rnacentral:lncRNA from 1 species
AAAACAUGCUAUAUUACGAAUUAUAAUAGCAAUGAUAAAUAUAAAAACAUGCUAUAUUUUAAUGUAGAUUUCAUAUAAUGAAAAAGUAAAACUAAAUGGUUUUAAUACCUGAGAAUAUUUCCAAUGCCGCCCACACCAACGUGCCAACAGUAUUGUUGGCAACAUCUUUGUGCUUCACCCUCGCCACUUUUUUGUUAGUGUAUCACAAUAUUUUAUGCGUUUGGAAAAGAUAAUGCUCCGAAUCUACAGAUCUGCGGUUUUAUUUGGAAAUCCAUCAAAGCAUAUUAUGAGUAUUUUUGUUCAAUAACAAAGCGUCAAUCCCAUUGAGUAAGAAGAACUGAAGAUUUUUUUUUUAAAAAAAAAAAAACUAAAAAAAAAGGAGAGAGAAUUGUGCUUCGUAUUUAUCUGUCAUGAUUAAAAUAAAGAGAAUUGUGCUAAUACAAGGAAUAAUAAAUCGACAAAUUAAUUGGUAGGAAAAAAAAAAAAGAGAAAAGGAAACAGAUUAAAUCACCUGCUAAUGUAGCCGUAGUAGCGCAGCUGGGUUGAUGAGCGAGUGUGCGGCGGCUUCACAAGUGCGACGGAGGCAUAGCGCAGCCCUAGCGAGGCUGGGUUUAUUUU